GAAGUUUGAGGUAUGAGGGUGGGUAGGCGGCCACACUUAAGUGUGCGGCCUGGCUGGCAGUGCCAGUUGUACAUCAGCCUUGGCCGGCUGUUGGAAAUGCGGGAAUAUUAUUUACAUCCGGUAUUUGGAAAUCGUUCUGUUUGUUGUUAGUGUUGUUGCUGUUCGUGAUUUUUUUUUUUUUAAAUAUUUGUGUCGUGUCGAGUUACAAUUUUUCCUCCAAUAUGUCGUUCUCAUUCCGCUGCAGUGUGCAAGCAGCCUUUAGCCUACUGUAACAAUUAACUCUUCUUGCUAUUUCCGUCUCAUACGUCGUUUUGUUUAUCAUUUUUUCUUCUUCAUAUAUUGAGAAAUCUAUCACCACCUUGAAAAAAAAAAGAAAGUAUUUUAUUCCGAGGCGGGGGAUAGAAAAACUUGAUAAAUGUCGAUGUGAUAAAAUAUCAUCAUGCUGAGAAACGUAAGUGCAUUGAUAAACUUGUCGAGCUUUGCUUGGAUUAUACGAAUAUGGUGUGAGAAUGAACGCGUAUCAAAAAACGGACACAAGUAAAAGGAAAUAGAAAAAAUUACAGCGAGAAACGGUUGGAACAGCAACAGCUCAAGUUAAUGUAUACAUAUUGAACACGCGUGCAGUGCCACCCCGUCUGAACCACGACCCGCCACGGCGGCCCGAAGACCUUGGUGCCAAUAAUAAUAUUUCACUCGGCACCCUGUCGACGAGCCAAAUAACCCCACAUCGCCUGACCCCAGGAUUUGGUAGUAAAUUUCCAAAAAAACAGCAAGACGUGAAAACAGUGAGACUGAAAAACGAUCAGGGAAUCUGAUGUGGAAGAGAUUGCGGAAACAAAAGUUUUGUGCCGUAGGCCUGCGGAUGACCUUUAUCUCUGUUACCCUGAAACGAGGCAUGACGAGAGCCUGAGACGUCAUCGUCAUGGCUAGCAGCACGGAGGAUUACGGCUCCGAGUUACAGGAACUGCAGUGGGGCGGAGGAAGCGGAUCCAAUUUCCUGAGGAGUGGCUCCCACUUCCUAAGAACGGGAUGCUACGAGGCGGAGGACCUCGAAUCGACGAGGCAUCAGACCGGCCAAAACAGGGGCUACUACAGCCCACCGGGUACCAGUUACACAAUAGUCGAAAGGCCCCCGAGUGCCCCGCACCAUCAUUCGACCCACACGACACCUUACCGGAAACGGGGACAUGGGGGAGGCGGAAGCGGAGCGAUCUCGCCGGAGCAAGUGCUCAGGCUCUUCGGCAACGGUGUCAACGAGAAACGGCAGACGGACAGACGGACGCCGGCUUCGAGUCCCGCCAGCGUCGCGGCGCUUCGGAAUUCCGCAAGCCAGUCUGGACAGCAAAAUCUUCAAACCUCCCCACCGCCGCAGCCCCCAAGCCUCCAGGAACUCACCGUGAGGACCAUCACCAUGGCCAGAGAUCCUCCUGACUCGCAUCACGGCUUUGGGAUCUGCGUGAAGGGAGGUAAAGACGCUGAAGUGCAGUCAGGUGUCGGUGUAUAUAUUUCACGUGUCGAGGAGGGUUCAGUUGCCGAACGAGCUGGACUCCGUCCCGGUGAUACGAUUCUUGAAGUGAACGGUAUCCCGUUCCGUGCAGUGACCCACGAAGAGGCUCUCAAGAUGCUUAAAUCCUGCCGGACGCUUAGCAUGACGGUUCGCGGGCCCGCCUUGGACCCUCGAUGUCGAGGGAGUCAUCCCGGGUGGACGGCUUCCGGUCGGCAGCAAUCCUGCAGCUGGAUGGACCGCCAGGGUCGCCCUGCUUCCCCACCUCCGUUGCACAGCCGAGACGGCCGCUACGCGGCCCAUAGAACGCGGAAAGUCGAGCUCUGCAUCGAACCUGGACAAUCCUUGGGACUCAUGAUUAGAGGGGGUCUAGAGUACGGUCUGGGAAUCUACGUUACCGGCGUGGACAAGGACAGCGUCGCGGACCGAGCGGGACUUCUGAUUGGGGACCAAAUCAUCGAAGUCAACGGUCAGAGCUUCGAGGAGGCGACCCACGACGAGGCGGUCCAGAUACUGAAGACGAACAAGCGCAUGAGUCUGGUAAUCAGGGACGUCGGAAAGGUUCCUCACUCCUGCACAACCAGUCAACCCGUCGUCGUUCCUCCGUCUCGGUACCAGGAGCACGAUCCUCUUCUUCUGGACAGUCCGGCCAGCCAUGGAAAUCAUCGGCCGCCCAGUCCGGGAACCGGCAGUACCGAGUGGAGGAAUCGCGCUCUUCAUUCAGCAACUGCCGCCAUGGUGGAAGAGAAGGCCAGGGUAGUCCUCGCCAGGAGUGAAAGAGCUGCACUGUCACAGCUUCUUGGCGACUACAGGAGUCGUCGGCUGACCAUCGAGGACCUCGUUGCCAGUUUGGGCGAUCUUUUGAACACUCAUGAAAAGCUCACGCUUCUCACCGAGCUCAGGGAACUCGUUGACGGAAAGGAUCGUGCUGCCUUUGAUGACCUCGUUUACAGACCAAGGACCAACGUUACUCUUGCCAGGAGGAAAGGUGAUAGGACGCAUUCUGAUCUCGUUGUGACGCCGUCGAUUCACGAUCUUCCGAGAGGCGGCGUUGGUGGCGUUGGCGGUAACGCCACCGGAAGUUGUUGCCGACCUGCGAGGCUCGUGGACGUCGAAGGAGAUCCCCUAGGAGUAACGGGACCUCUUAUACCAAGGGAAGGCCAGGGGGAGUAUAGGUCGCCGAGUGAGGACAGCGGUCUCGGAGCAGACAUGCCCAGGAGCAGAGCUGGCUGCAGACGAAGCCAACAGCACCAAGUCGCAACUUCAGACCUCGCCCUCUCCAACGAUGACGAGUGCGAUAAUCAGGACUACGAGGACGAGGCUGAAAAUGACAGAGGACGAAGGCACAGCUCACCUGGAGGUUCCCGAGGGAAUACCAGAGAUUUUGGACACCAUCAUUUGCACGCUGACAAUUUGGAGAGCGAUGGCGGUUGCGAGGGUAGCGACUCCGAGAUGAUGGGAAAUGGGAGACGCGGCGAGAGGGAUCGCGAAGAGGAUGAUGAGGACGAGGAGGGCAGGGAGGAGAGGAACUCGGAGAGUGGCGGUGGGGGUUUCGGUGGGUGGAGAAACCACCUUCUCGGUGGCCUUACGCAGCGCGUCAAGUCCUGGUACUGGGGCGCCAGGCCCCUAUUAACACCUUUACAGGAACUCGCGCACAAACUAUCUCGCAGCUUCGAUAUGCAGGAGGCACAGUUGCUGGAGGAAGUCGGCUCCGGAAGUGGGACAAACGGCAGCGGAGGAUCCGGCCGUCCUCCGAGACGUCAUCACAGCGCCCAGCGGCUUGCCCGAGGUGACAUGGCAACCGGAAGAGAGGACGAUGGCGCCCUCGUCGUGCCGGACCACCAGGGGAACCUUCGCAUUACCGUCAGGAAGACAAAAUCGAUCCUGGGAAUCGCUAUCGAGGGUGGCGCCAACACGAAACAUCCCUUACCCCGAAUCAUCAACAUUCAUGAUAACGGGGCGGCUUUUGAAGCUGGAGGACUUGAAGUUGGCCAAUUGAUCCUUGAAGUGGACGGACACAAAGUACAAGGGCUUCAUCAUCAAGAAGUGGCACGACUGAUAGCAGAUUCGUUUGCACGGAGAGACCGCAACGAGAUCGAGUUCCUAGUCGUCGAGGCGAAGAAGAGCAACCUCGAGCCAAAACCAACAGCGUUGAUAUUCCUGGAAGCGUAGCAAGAGUCCCCCACCUCUGAGCCAGAACCUCCCUAGCUCUAAAUAUUGAACGACGAGUGCUAUAACGCGUACGAAAAUCUCCUGGGUGAUGAAAUUUCGAGAGAAGAAAGAGGAGUUGAAGAAACAAUAAAAAAAAAAAAAAAACUAAUCGAAAAUUGAAUCUCACCGGGGAGAAAUUCAAAAUAAAAUUUGUUGAAAAUGUUCACUCGUUCAGAAGAAUAAGAUCAUCAGAGCUGGCCCAGGUGGUGGGACUGCAUGAAUAAUAAUGGUGUAACUAUGUAAUCAUUAGGUGAAUUUAAUAUUACACGGAAAUUAAUUUAUGCAUAAUAUAUUCUAAAAUCUGCACUGAAUAUGCUGUUAUGUUUAUGUGAUUACGAAGAGGUCAAAGAAAAACUGAAAGAACAUGUUCGAAGUAGUGCACUGUGAGGUUAGAAUCGAACUACGGAAAAUCAAGAAUCUUAUUUACGGACGAUUUUGAAAUUCCACACUGGGUCUAUGGACUGGAAAAAUAAACGGAAACGUGAAUCGUCAUAGUGUGGCAGCCUAGAAAAAAGAAAAGAAAGAUGGCAGAGAAGAAAUUAGCAAUAGCGUCGCAACAAAACAGCCACGUUCUCCGCCUUGCGAUUUUACCUCACGCGUUUUUUCAAUUACACCAAUAAUUUGUAGCGAUCUUAGUUCCAGUAGCUUCUCUGUUUCUGAAAUUAUUGAAAAAAAAGUUUGUCUUUCGGAUUUCGGAGCAUCGAUUUCUCAAUCUUGGAUUAAAACGUAACGCUUCUCGCUUAGGUUCGUAAUCCGAAAUACCAAUUUCCCGACAUGCUACCAAAAAUAUAACGGUUUAUCGAUCGAACCAAAUUAUCGCAAACACCGUUGAAUGUGCAAAAAACAAGGUAGCGAAAAAACUGAGAAAACAUCCAACAUAUUAUAGUUGAUCGCCCCGGAUUAUUAUCAGUAUUAAAAAAGGUUUAAUAUAAUAUACCUAUGUAUAGUAUAAGAGAUAAAAUUUAAGCGAGGUACAAUUGUUGUUGCAUGAUAAAUAUAUAUGAUACGUUUUACCAAUUAUCAACACAACUUCUGAAUAUCAAAAAAUCAACUUCAACAGUCUACAAAUUUCAAAUGAUAGUGAAGCUCAUUUCCUGUCAUCCAGAAGUUGCGCUGAGAAUAGGUCUAGUUAUUCAUAUUUAUUCAGAUAGUGUGCCAAACAAUCGCGAUGUUUUCUGUAAACGUGGGAUAAACCUGUUUAUUAUUAAUACUAUUAUUACACAAUUGAUAUAAAAUGAUGAAUAAUAUUAUACUUAUACGAAUAAGAAUAAUAUAAAUAAUAACAAUAACAUACAACGUAAUACGUAAACUGUGAAAUAUAUACAUAUAGAUUUAUAAUACAAUAUUAUAUAUUUGGACACAAACAAAUUAUACAUCGUAUGUACCUAUCAGGCGUUCAAUUAGCCAUAGAGUCACCGGAAAAAUACAAGUGUACGAUGAAGUAAUCAUGCAGCAGAGAAAACCAACCGUGAUUUAAUAUUAAUAAAAGUAAAUAUAUAGUUAAAUUAAUAAAAUAAUUAAUAAUUAUAUACCGAGUGAAACAAUAUAUUAUAACUGUACACACAUACCUAAAACUGAUAUAAACAAUAUAAUAGGUAAUAUUAUUACUGUUGACAAAUGUGUUACAGAAAAUGUUGAGAAAAAAAAGUUGAAAAAAUGUAUUGAUAAUAAUAAUGACAUACAAUAUGGUUGAACUGAAAAAAAAGCUAGUGGAAGUUGACUUGAAAAGCGCGUUGUUAAAUUGAUAUUACUCAUAAUAAUACACUUCAAAUAUUUGAACAAUCAAUUAUAUUUAUAAUAUAAUCGAUGCGAUGAAUUUAACUAUCUUACAUGCUUUACCAAAUAGAUGUGUACGCGUAUAACCGUAAGUAAACUUCAGGCUACGUAAGGAUUACGAUACUAUAUACUGUUAUAAUAUGUAAAUUCAUAUAGACGCUCGCAAACUGUAUAAUACAUUAUAUUUAUAAUAACAAUGAUAAUAUAACGAUAGAGACUUUAACGGGAAUUGUUAAUGCUUAAAGGUAUAAAUAUAGUAUUGAAUAUAUAUAUAAAAAUCAGUGACACAUUAUAUAUUAUUAUAAUGAACAUCCUCUGUAUUGUUGCUAUCGCAAGCAAUAAAUGAUAAUAAUGACAUUAACAAUAAGAAUAAUAAUAACAUUAAAAACAAAUAUUAUAAAAUUAAUGAGAAGAUGAUAGCCGGCAGCCGAGCCUCCAGCUGGAUUAUAUUUUGCGCCAUUGACAAAACAGCGUAAUUUCUAUAGACACGUGUCUAUAUUGUAUAUAAAUAUAUCGUUCAAUCAUCUCUUUGCCUGAUGAUAUUGAUGAAUAUGAGUCCGUUAUCAUUAUUAAUAUUGUUGGUUGUGAUUAUUAUCAUUACAAUCGUAACGUCUGUAUCAAUCAGUGAUUGUUGCACUCGCAGAACUUGAGUACAUAGGUAGAUAGGCACAAAAUGCGUGAGAUCGGAAGAGCUUC
rnacentral:misc_RNA from 1 species